rnacentral:rRNA from 1 species
UUGUCCGGAAUUACUGGGUGUAAAGGGAGCGUAGGCGGGACGGUAAGUCAGGUGUGAAAUAUACGUGCUCAACAUGUAGACUGCACUUGAAACUGCUGUUCUUGAGUGAAGUAGAGGUAAGCGGAAUUCCUAGUGUAGCGGUGAAAUGCGUAGAUAUUAGGAGGAACAUCGGUGGCGAAGGCGGCUUACUGGGCUUUUACUGACGCUGAGGCUCGAAAGCGUGGGGAGCAAACAGGAUUAGAUACCCUGGUAGUCCACGCUGUAAACGAUGAUUACUAGGUGUGGGGGGACUGACCCCUUCCGUGCCGCAGUCC